rnacentral:rRNA from 1 species
AUUGAACGCUGGCGGCAGGCCUAACACAUGCAAGUCGAGCGAGUGGCGGACGGGUGAGUAAUGUAUGGGAAACUGCCUGAUGGAGGGGGAUAACUACUGGAAACGGUGGCUAAUACCGCAUACCAUCAGAUGUACCCAGAUGGGAUUAGCUAGUAGGUGGGGUAAAGGCUCACCUAGGCGACGAUCCCUAGCUGGUCUGAGAGGAUGAUCAGCCACACUGGAACUGAGACACGGCCCAGACUCCUACGGGAGGCAGCAGUGGGGAAUAUUGCACAAUGGGCGCAAGCCUGAUGCAGCCAGGCCGCGUGUAUGAAGAAGGCCUUAGGGUUGUAAAGUACUUUCAGCGGGGAGGCGUUACCCGCAGAAGAAGCACCGGCUAACUCCGUGCCAGCAGCCGCGGUAAUAC